GCUGGGCGUGGUGGUGCGCGCCUGUAAUCCCAGCUACUUGGGAGGCUGAGGCCGGAGAAUUGCUUGAACCUGGGAGGUGGAGGUUGCAGUGAGCCGAGAUAGCACCACUGCACUCCAGCCUGGGUGAUAGGGCGAGACUCUGUCUCAA
ensembl:misc_RNA Metazoa_SRP Metazoan signal recognition particle RNA